UUUUCCCCCAACAUGGUUCUGGGAGAGGACCUUGGAUACCUUAUGUUGAAACUCAAACAAACCUCAAGACUUCACCAUCCGCAGGUUCCAGUCACACUAUCCAAUGUAACUGAGUGUCUAGCAGUAAAAUAUUUGCAAUCAUCUCUUUAAAAAGAACACCAUUCCUGUAGAAAGAUGCAUUUAAUGUAAUGGGCUGUGGAUUUUGGAAUGUAACAAAACUAACCUUUUAUUUUAGUUUUUAAAUAGAUUGGUAGAACUUUGCCAGUCUCUCAACCUUAGCUUAAUUUAAUGUAUUAAUUGAUCAAUGAAAAAUAACAGAUCUAGAAAAAUGCUAGUUGAUGAAAUGCAGUUUUUAUAACUUUUUUUUUUAUAAACAUGGAAAUUACUGGCAAUGCCUGUAUAUCCCUUAAAUUUGGUGGUCGUGUUAGCUGUCAGUGGCCACAUUGACACUUUUUUUUUUUUUAAGUCCUCUCAAAUAAGGAAAUUAGGGAUGGGAAGGAAGUUUAAGUCCAAGAAACUAUCUAACUAAGAUGUGUUGAUAUUCCCAAGAAAGCCCUCUCAUUUACUUGUUGAGGGAGAAGCAUAGGUAAGCAAUGAAAUAAGCAUGUUGCCUAUGGCUGUUGCCCAGUUAAGUGUUCACAAUUGGCUUAAGGUAGUGGGGGUAGGUUUAACUAUGGUACUUAAUCUUGCAAGACUCAAAGAGGCCGGAUGUCUGAUUUCUUUAGUUCUUGAGCUCUUCACAGUAGGCAGUGGUUGUUCGGGGGUUGGUUUGUUUGUUUGUUUGUUUGUUUUUUAAAUACUUUUCCCUUCCUCCGGCCCUAGCUUUCUCUGCUACUAUGCAGCUUCUUUAGAGUGUAGGUUGGCCUCCACUACUGAAAACUACUUUAUGCUUGGCUCACUAUCAAACUUUUAUAGGUGUGUUGGGUUUUUUGUGGGGCAAAAGGGUGUUUUUUGUUUUUUAAGCUACACCUACUUCUUUCUAGGGUCCAAACACUGGAUAUGACAGUGUCCCUAAUCUCCUUAUUGUUGCCCUGUAUCUAAACUCCUGCAUAGAGACAGGGAGGUGAGAAAAGAAUAGACAAGUAGACCUAAAGACUCAUAUCAGAAGCAAAGAUGUCAGUAUUUGUAGAUGGGGAAGGAGCACAUGGAAUAACCUACUUGAUAUGUGUAACCAUUUGAGUCUUUCAUCUGCUUUUCAUGUAACAGUUGCAUUCUAAAUUAUAUUGUGAAUAUAGGGGGUUCCAAAUCCAGUUAAAUAAAUUUUUUUUUUAAAAAAAAUGUCA
rnacentral:lncRNA from 1 species